UCAUGUGGAAGGGACAGUGGGACCGGAUGCGGUAUAGAUGCAGAUUUACACCCUCCAAUGAAGUUGUGAAACGUGUUAGGUAGCCGAAUCUCAUUCUCUAAAAAUACUCUUAAGCUAGGUGGGUAUAAACUCAUUUUUACACCUAUCAAUAACCAUUGGUCACAUACGAGGUGUAACCUUCAAACACCUACAUCUGACUUUUUAGAAUCCUUUUUUUCUCCUUUUAUUCGCAACCCCAGCCUCCUCUAUGAGCUUUCUUCUCUUCCAAGUCCCCUUUUAUUUAUCUAACUUGAUUGGAUCUUCAUUCUCUCUCGCUCUCUCGUUCAAUCUCGUGAUUCAUUAAUGGGAGAAGGGAAGUUACCAUCUCAUCUCAUAUAAACUUUCCGAUCACUCAUUGACCUUCAAAGUCGAUGGUUCGCAAGAUUUGGAUUCAAUGCAAGUUUAGGGGUUGUUGAUCUGGAGCAUCAUAGUUUGUGGUGUUCUCAUUUUAUUUUUUUAGCAAUCAACCCCGUCAGUUAGGGUUUCAACAUAAUCUGCAAAUAUGUUUCAGGACAACAAUUAUAAGCUAUUUCUUUCUCUAUU